AUUUUCUAAUAUACCAAUUCAGGGACAAAAAUGAAAUAAUGCCACGGACUAAAGUGUAACCAAAAUAUAUCAUGUCUAAUACUUCAACGACUAAAGAGUGGAGCCAAGGGAUAGACACAUAUAUUGGCCAAAUCUUAAGGGGGCUUUAGUAAUUCAUUCUAAUCUGCAAUUCAUAUCCUUUUUCACCAUUCUAUUCUGUUUUAAGGUAAAGUUUCUAAGAAGGAAGACUCUCAAAAGAAGAUAUUUAGCUCAAACAAAAAACAAAAGACAAGGUUGCCUUUGAUUUAAAGGAUCUGGCCAAGGAUACAGCUAAAUCCACGUAUCAGUUCAAUAGUAACUCUGAUUGAAUACAAUAUAAUUGAAGUCUUAAAGAACUAAAAAUUCUAAAAAAUUAGUAAAAAGGCAUGUAAACUCCACUUGGGACAAGAUUCUUA
rnacentral:misc_RNA from 1 species